AUUCUUUGACAUUUGACGUACACCGAUAUUCUUUUAAUUAUUUGUUUAUUUCGAAGCAGAUAUAUGUAGCACGCGAUCAGCUGAUGCAAUUCGAAAUGUUUAGUCCAAAAACAAUGAGCCAGAAUUCGAGAUCAAAAGAGAACGAUAAUGGACAACAAACUGCUUCUUAAAAAAGCUAUUAGUGCAAUGAAUUUAUUUGGAAUUUGGUUCUUAUACAUUUAUAAACAUAGCGAUUUUAAAUUAUAUCCCAUGAUUCGAAAAUAAUAAAAAAAACAAUGAAGAA